AACAAGGUUUCCGUUGGUGAACCAGCGGAGGGAUCAUUACGAGUUUCAGACUCCCAAACCCACUGUGAACCACCGCAAGCGUUGCCUCGGCGGGGACCCCCGGCGCCCCAGCGGCCCGGCGGGGCGCCCGCCGGAGGACCACGACUCCGUAUUCCAGGCGUCCCUCCGAGUGAACGAAAAAUGAGUCAAAACUUUCAACAACGGAUCUCUUGGUUCUGGCAUCGAUGAAGAACGCAGCGAAAUGCGAUAAGUAAUGUGAAUUGCAGAAUUCAGUGAACCAUCGAAUCUUUGAACGCACAUUGCGCCCGCCAGCACUCUGGCGGGCAUGCCUGUCCGAGCGUCAUGUCAACCCUCGAGCCCCGGCUCGGCGUUGGGGGUCGCGGCCCAGGCCGCCCCCGAAAUGCAGUGGCGACGCCGCCGCAGCCUCCCCCGCGCAGUAGAUCCGCUCGCGACGGGAGCGCGGAGGCCCGCGCCUCGAAACCGCAACACGAGUUGACCUCGGAUCAGGUAGGGAUACCCGCUGAACUUAAGCAUA
rnacentral:rRNA from 1 species